rnacentral:misc_RNA from 1 species
CAACGCCUCCUGUCAGUUCACGGUCAUCUGGCCAGAGGAAGAAUGGCGAAGCCUCUCCAAGUGAGUUCAGUCCUGGGCUUCUAGAUCUGCAUUCCUUCGACACUGAGCUGCUUCCUGAGAUGCCAGUUCCCGGACUGUAUGAUAGUUCCUCUCUGUUUCAUCCUGUUCGGGGGAGAAGCUUUGAUGACUCUGAACCUUAUAUUUCAACCAACAAGCAGACUGGCAGAGCUCCUGUUUUACCAGAUAACAAUCUCCUUAAGAGCUUUGCUGCAGACAAAGAGAAAGGCAGUUCUGUUGCGAAGAUCAAAGUUGUGGUGCGCAAGAGACCAUUGAAUAAAAAAGAGCUGGCUAAAAAUGAAGAAGAUAUAAUAGAAACACAUUC